rnacentral:misc_RNA from 1 species
CUGAGUUAGGGUCUCUACGGCCCGGCCUCCAACCCUUGUGUUAACUAAACCACGUUGCUUCGGCGGGCCCGUCCCCCCUCCUCGGGGAGACCGCCGGGGGGUCUUAUCGACUUCCUGGCCCGUUGCCCGCCGGUGGCCAACCCCAAAACUCCUUAACAACAUUGUCUGAAAAAACACUUUUGAU